CAGAAAUAACAUUAUGCUUAUCCUAACUGACAGAAGGUAGAUGUUAUUUUUCUAACCGCUGCCUCCUGUUCACUGACCUUCAGGUUAAAAUUGUUACAAAAACAUGAGCAGGCAGCUUUCCAACUGUUCAAGCUGUGCUUUCAGAAACAAGCAUUAGGAAUUCAUGGGAAUAGUAUCCAGUGCUAAAUGUUGAUGGUUUAAGCAGGUGGAACUUCAACGCAGGGGAUACCCGAGUAAUUUAUGUCUGGCAAACGUGCUCUUAGUAUAUGUCCAACUUUAUUGCAUUUUCUGCAACACACAUCAAAGUUGCUGGUGAACGCAGCAGGCCAAGCAGCAUCUAUAGGAAGAGGUGCAGUGGACGUUUCAGGCCGAGACCCUUCGUCAGGACUAACUGAAGGAAGACCCUGCAACAUGUCUGACUGGCGCUGCGUGUGGAGAAACAAAUGGUCUGGAUUGGAAUAAAGGAUUGAAAGGGGACAUUGACUAAUAAAGGAGAUAUGACAGACAGAAUUCAGGCAUAAGAAACAGAACUAAGAGAAGAUAUCCCAACCUACAUUGCAUCAGUCAGGUGACGUCAUCCUGGGAGGACCCAUUGAUGAACACUACUACAACUUCCCCUAUUUGGCUGCUACUCUCUCACAUCCUCCAUCUCGAACACAUUCCAUGUUCUAUUUCAAAGAAGGAAUGCAUGAGGAAUGGCAUCAUCCAGUGCGCCUUUGCAGAAGAAAUUGACUCGUGGGUCACAACAGGAAGUGCCCAAAACAAACCAGAAGUGUUUAUAAUUCUGCUUUAGUCUUGGAGAAUUAAAAAAAAAACCUUCAUUUUUAAAAAAUAAAGCAUCAAGCGAUUACAUUUCCAGACAACACUGAUGAAACUGACUUUUAUGCUUUAUGUGAUGUACCUGUAAACUGUUCAGGGGAGGUUUAUAAGAAAUGGAUGAGAGUUUUCUCAUUGAAGUCAAAGGAUCUUAUUUUUGCCAUUCAGAUGCAGAUGAUAGGAGGCCUGCAGUAUAAAAUUAGGAGGGAAAAAAAAGCACUGCAUAAUUUAUAU